AUGUUAGCUAAUAAGUAGUUUUCAAAAGGCAAGAUAGUUAGUGUCAUGGAGCCUAUGUUUUAAAUAUAAUUUUUGGACGUUACACAUACUACCGUUAUUGUAAAUAUUACUUGUAUUUAUUUUCAUGUAUUAUAAAAAAAAUUCAGCUAUCACAAGAAAACAGCCACAGCAAUGGCAAGUCAGGGCCUUACAACAUCAACACCAAGUAAGCAACCAGGUUUGCUGUGCCAUCCAGCAUCAACAAUCGGAGAUGAUUCUGAUCGUGAUAACUUUGGUGUGGCAGAAGUUGGACCACUAGCAGAGGAACAAGGUUUAGAGGCUUUGGAAGAAAGACCCAGAGAAAGGGAGGUACAAAGAAUAUGGUUGUAAAAGAUGAGGCGAGGAGCAGUUUUUCCUUCUUCAGGAAGGAAUAAUAUCUGGACAGUCGGUCAUACUAGUAUGGCUAAAGGAUAUUGUCAAUCAUUUUUGGUUUUGUUGCUAGAAGGCAGACAAUCGAGAGGAGUUCGUGGGUAUGUGGUGUGAGGUGCUUCAUCAUGUCUGUGACAUACAUGAAUGGGCCCUUGGCAAUGUCAGCAUCAACCACUGGGUGCGACAAGCUGUGACAAAGAGUGCCAUAGUAUCUGGUUCUGCAGCACAUGAGGCACUCUCACAGAUUGUGCUCAACAGACGCUGGCUGAAGGAUGUUGAGAAGUUUCUGACCUUUCGGUCAACUUCAGAUCUUGAGUCCUUUCAGAACCACAUUCUUAUGUAUGCUGGUAAGCGGUUUGCCUUUUCUCCUCCAGUGUAUGAAGCAAGGACACUUCUCGCUGCAUUGGAUUACAACCACCACAACCACCGGCCAGUGAAUGUCAACCACAAAGGCAAAGUUUCGUUGCCAAGGACUACAGCUACAUCCCUCAACUGCAGCGUAAAAUUCUAGGAAAACGUUUGAACUCUGCUGAGGGAUUCAGUAGACAGAGAAGUCUCAGGAUGGACGACCCACGGACUCUUGGUGGCCUUCCCAGAGUUGUGCCUCCACCAUCAGCUGAACUGGCCCAGGCACAAAUCAGAAGAGGACAGGAGAUGACUUCUGCUAAAUGAGCAAAUGGAGCAAAAAAAAAAAAAAAAAAAGGAAAAGAAAUUGUUUACAGAACAAUCGUUUAUUUAUUAAAUCUAACAAAAAUGUUUAAAAAAAUAAUAUAUAUAAGUAUAAUAUAGAU